rnacentral:rRNA from 1 species
UACGUAGGGUGCAAGCGUUGUCCGGAAUUAUUGGGCGUAAAGAGCUCGUAGGCGGUCUGUCGCGUCGGCUGUGAAAACUCGGGGCUCAACUCCGAGCUUGCAGUCGAUACGGGCAGGCUAGAGUUCGGCAGGGGAGACUGGAAUUCCUGGUGUAGCGGUGAAAUGCGCAGAUAUCAGGAGGAACACCGAUGGCGAAGGCAGGUCUCUGGGCCGAUACUGACGCUGAGGAGCGAAAGCGUGGGGAGCGAACAGG